rnacentral:rRNA from 1 species
GGCGCACGGGUGCGUAACGCGCGCUACAAUCUGCCUUUCACAUAGGGAUAGCCCGAAGAAAUUUGGAUUAAUACCUAAUGGUAUAUAAGAGCGGCAUCGUUUUUAUAUUAAAGCUACGGUGGUGAAAGAUGAGUAUGCGUUCUAUUAGCUAGUUGGAGAGGUAACGGCUCCCCAAGGCGACGAUAGAUAGGGGUUCUGAGAGGGAUGUCCCCCACACUGGUACUGAGAUACGGACCAGACUCCUACGGGAGGCAGCAGUGAGGAAUAUUGGACAAUGGUCGGAAGACUGAUCCAGCCAUGCCGCGUGCAGGAUGAAGGUCCUAUGGAUUGUAAACUGCUUUUGUAAGGGAAGAAUAAGGAGUACGUGUACUUUGAUGACGGUACCUUACGAAUAAGCAUCGGCUAACUCCGUGCCAGCAGCCGCGGUAAUACGGAGGAUGCGAGCGUUAUCCGGAAUCAUUGGGUUUAAAGGGUCCGUAGGCGGGCUGAUAAGUCAGAGGUGAAAGCGCUUAGCUCAACUAAGCAACUGCCUUUGAAACUGUCAGUCUUGAAUGAUUGUGAAGUAGUUGGAAUGUGUAGUGUAGCGGUGAAAUGCUUAGAUAUUACACAGAACACCGAUAGCGAAGGCUAUUACUAACAAUUUAUUGACGCUGAUGGACGAAAGCGUGGGGGAGCGAACAGGAUUAGAUACCCUGGUAGUC